CGGACGGGUGAGUAACACGUGGGAACGUGCCUUUAGGUUCGGAAUAGCUUCUGGAAACGGGUGGUAAUGCCGAAUGUGCCCUUCGGGGGAAAGAUUUAUCGCCUUUAGAGCGGCCCGCGUCUGAUUAGCUAGUUGGUGAGGUAACGGCUCACCAAGGCGACGAUCAGUAGCUGGUCUGAGAGGAUGACCAGCCACACUGGGACUGAGACACGGCCCAGACUCCUACGGGAGGCAGCAGUGGGGAAUCUUGCGCAAUGGGCGAAAGCCUGACGCAGCCAUGCCGCGUGAAUGAUGAAGGUCUUAGGAUUGUAAAAUUCUUUCACCGGGGACGAUAAUGACGGUACCCGGAGAAGAAGCCCCGGCUAACUUCGUG
rnacentral:rRNA from 1 species